rnacentral:rRNA from 1 species
UAGGGAAUCUUCGGCAAUGGACGAAAGUCUGACCGAGCAACGCCGCGUGAGUGAAGAAGGUUUUCGGAUCGUAAAACUCUGUUGGUAGAGAAGAACGUUGGUGAGAGUGGAAAGCUCAUCAAGUGACGGUAACUACCCAGAAAGGGACGGCUAACUACGUGCCAGCAGCCGCGGUAAUACGUAGGUCCCGAGCGUUGUCCGGAUUUAUUGGGCGUAAAGCGUGCGCAGGUGGUUUAUUAAGUCUGGUGUAAAAGGCAGUGGCUCAACCAUUGUAUGCAUUGGAAACUUGUAGACUUGAGUGCAGGAGAGGAGAGUGGAAUUCCAUGUGUAGCGGUGAAAUGCGUAGAUAUAUGGAGGAACACCGGUGGCGAAAGCGGCUCUCUGGCCUGUAACUGACACUGAGGCUCGAAAGCGUGGGGAGCAAACA